CGAAAUGCGAUAAGUAAUGUGAAUUUCAGAAUUCAGUGAAUCAUCGAAUCUUUGAACGCACCUUGCGCUCCUUGGUAUUCCUUGGAGCAUGCCUGUUUGAGUAUCAUGAAAUCUUCAAAGUAAAUCUUUUGUUAACUCAAUUGGUUUCUACUUUGGUAUUGGGGGUCUUUGCAGCUUCACACCUGCUCCUCUUUGUUCAUUAGCUGGAUCUCAGUGUUAUGCUUGGUUCCACUCGGCGUGAUAAGUUAUCUAUCGCUGAGGACACUGUAAAAGGUGGCCAAGGUAAAUGCAGAUGAACCGCUUCUAAUAGUCCAUUGACUUGGACAAUACUUUUAUGAUCUGAUCUCAAAUCAGGUAGGACUACCCGCUGAACUUAAGC
rnacentral:misc_RNA from 1 species